AACAACAAUGAAUCAAGUUUAUCAGGUGAUACAUUAAUUUUGUAAGCAAAAAUAGGUGAAACAAAAGAGUGCGAUGCACCAGUGUCAAAUAAAAUAUGAGCAAUAUGGUAAGAGAUAAUAUACAUACCCUGUACCACAUCCGGGUCGGUGUCGGCAUCCUGCUGGGUAAGGUUAUAAGCUCUAUCCUAGAUAGGAGGCCUUCCUUGAUUCUGGU
rnacentral:lncRNA from 1 species